rnacentral:rRNA from 1 species
UACGGAGGGUGCAAGCGUUGUCCGGAAUCACUGGGCGUAAAGGGCGCGUAGGCGGCUCAUGAAGGCUGUGGUGAAAGUCCGGGGCUCAACCUCGGAUCGGCCGUGGCGACUCGUGGGCUGGAGCACUGUAGAGGCGGGUGGAAUUCCGGGUGUAGCGGUGGAAUGCGUAGAGAUCCGGAAGAACACCAGUGGCGAAAGCGGCUCACUGGACCACAACUGACGCUGAGGCGCGAAAGCUAGGGGAGCAAACAGG